GAUGAACGCUGGCGGCGUGCCUAAUACAUGCAAGUCGAGCGAACAGACGAGGAGCUUGCUCCUCUGACGUUAGCGGCGGACGGGUGAGUAACACGUGGAUAACCUACCUAUAAGACUGGGAUAACUUCGGGAAACCGGAGCUAAUACCGGAUAAUAUAUUGAACCGCAUGGUUCAAUAGUGAAAGACGGUUUUGCUGUCACUUAUAGAUGGAUCCGCGCCGCAUUAGCUAGUUGGUAAGGUAACGGCUUACCAAGGCAACGAUGCGUAGCCGACCUGAGAGGGUGAUCGGGCAAAAUAGAAAUGGAAAACAGACCAGACUCCUACGGGAGGCAGCAGUAGGGAAUCUUCCGCAAUGGGCGAAAGCCUGACGGAGCAACGCCGCGUGAGUGAUGAAGGUCUUCGGAUCGUAAAACUCUGUUAUUAGGGAAGAACAAAUGUGUAAGUAACUAUGCACGUCUUGACGGUACCUAAUCAGAAAGCCACGGCUAACUACGUG
rnacentral:rRNA from 1 species